AAACUGGAGAGUUUGAUUCUGGCUCAGAUUGAACGCUGGUGGCGUGCUUAACACAUGCAAGUCGAGCGAGAAAGCUUCUUCGGAAGUGAGUAGAGCGGCGCACGGGUGAGUAACGCGUGGAUAAUCUACCUAGAAGACUGGGAUAACAGUUGGAAACGACUGCUAAUACCGG
rnacentral:ncRNA from 1 species